UACGGGGGGGGCAAGCGUUGUUCGGAAUUACUGGGCGUAAAGGGCGCGUAGGCGGCCUACUAAGUCGGACGUGAAAUCCCUCGGCUUAACCGGGGAACUGCGUCUGAUACUGGAUGGCUUGAGUUCGGGAGAGGGAUGCGGAAUUCCAGGUGUAGCGGUGAAAUGCGUAGAUAUCUGGAGGAACACCGGUGGCGAAGGCGGCAUCCUGGACCGACACUGACGCUGAGGAGCGAAAGCCAGGGGAGCAAACGGGG
rnacentral:rRNA from 1 species